rnacentral:rRNA from 1 species
ACGCUAUCGGAUUAUUGGGCGUAAGCGCGCGCAGGUGGUUUCUUAAGUCUGAUGUGAAAGCCCACGAGACUCAACCGUGGAGGGUCAUUGGAAACUGGGAGACUUGAGUGCAGAAGAGGAAAGUGGAAUUCCAUGUGUAGCGGUGAAAUGCGUAGAGAUAUGGAGGAACACCAGUGGCGAAGGCGACUUUCUGGUCUGUAACUGACACUGAGGCGCGAAAGCGUGGGGAGCAAACAGGAUUAGAUACCCUGGUAGUCCACGCCGUAAACGAUGAGUGCUAAGUGUUAGAGGGUUUCCGCCCUUUAGUGCUGAAGUUAACGCAUUAAGCACUCCGCCUGGGGAGUACGGCCGCAAGGCUGAAACUCAAAGGAAAUUGACGGA